rnacentral:rRNA from 1 species
AUGGGGAACCCUGGUGCACUUCAUCGUUCUAUUACCUUACAAUCCUUAACUGUCUUCUCCCUUGUUGCAGUUUUUGCAGCAGAUCAUGUCCAGGGAGGAGAUGAUGGGUGCACACCUUUCUCGUGUGGACAUCUCCGAGACAUAUUGCCUCCUUUCCGUCGGCAAGGUGAUCCUCUUGAGUGCGGUAUUGAAGCAUAUGAGCUGGGUUGUACCAGUAGCAAGGCUACAAUUCACAUCAGCACAGGAACAUACUAUGUGACUGCCAUCAACUACACCGGUUCCUACUUCUGGGUCAUGGAUCCCAACUUCAAUACCAGUAGCAGCUGCCCACUUCCAUUGUGGAAUCAUGUUCCUUACUUUGGAUAUUACGGCGGCACUGAUUCAGUUUCACCACCUGGCUUUCGUUAUUUGAUCACUCAAAGCUACUACAGAGCAUGUUUUGCUAAUUGUUCACGACCAGUAACAGAUAAUAGUGCGUACAAGCCUGUUGCUUGCCUGAGUGCCAACAAUUCACAUGUUUAUGUCUGGGUGCCUACUACAGAUAAUUGUGCGGUUGACCUUCUUGAACCUUAUUGUGGAUACCUGGCCAAUAUUCCAUUUGGUAACGAGUUUGUUCCUGAUUGGCGCAUACACAAUGCAAGUUAUGCAGAUAUCACACAAGUCGUAAGUAAGGGGUUUACUGUCCAAUUUCCUGUGGACACCAUGGGGCCUUCUGUCUCUGUGAAGUUAAGAAAGAACAUCAAUAUAUGCCUCAACAAUUCAAUCAGCUACUUCAAGGAGCAAUCAUCUGGUGCAAGCAUCGUGAAUUGGACUCAUGUUUUCUUCUGGAGUGAAGUGCACUUCUUAGAAUGUGUGGCUCAGUACUCCAACGAUCACUACUACACAACACCGUUUCUUUUGGUUGUUGUGACCAUAUUAUCUGUGAUUGCUAUUCCCAAGUUCUUUUUCGUACUGUGCAGGUUCUUGUUGGCACCCCUGGCUGUGUGGAUAUUCCUAGCCUACAAGUACUUGAAAACAAGGAUCAUAAUUGAUGCAGUCGAGAAGUUCCUCAGGAUUCAACAAGUGAUUGGCCCUACGAGGUAUGCCUACACAAACAUCGUUGCAGUCACAAGCCAUUUCAGAGAUAAAUUGGGCCAAGGGGGCUACGGCUCCGUGUACAAGGGUGUGCUACUUCCAGGGGAUAUUCAUGUCGCCGUCAAGAUGCUAGAGGGCAACUCAAACUGCAAUGGAGAAGAUUUCAUCAGCGAGGUCUCCACCAUCGGCAGGAUCCACCACGUCAAUGUGGUGCGUUUAGUGGGGUUCUGCUCGGAGGAAAUGAGAAGGGCCUUAGUCUACGAGUACAUGCCCAAUGGUUCUCUGGACAAGUACAUCUUCUCUACCGAGAAGAGCUUCUCAUGGGACAAGCUCAACGACAUCGCUUUGGGCAUUGCCAGGGGGAUCAACUACUUACAUCAGGGGUGUGACAUGCAGAUUCUACACUUUGACAUCAAGCCGCACAACAUCCUUCUCGAUAGCAAUUUCGUCCCAAAGGUCGCCGAUUUCGGGCUUGCCAAACUGUACCCGAGGGGAGACAGUUUCGUGCCACUGAGCGCCAUGCGGGGGACUGUCGGCUACAUAGCCCCGGAGAUGAUAUCCCGGAGCUUUGGUGUCAUAUCUAGCAAAUCUGACGUCUACAGCUUCGGGAUGCUGCUGUUGGAGAUGGCUGGCGGGAGAAGGAACGCUGAUCCAAACAUGGGGUCCUCAAGCCAGGCGUACUACCCGUCAUGGGUGUACGCCAAGCUGACCCGGGAAGAAGCGGGCGAGGAGAUAUCACCUGUUGCUGCCGACAUGCACGAACUGGAGAAGAAGCUGUGUGUUGUCGGAUUAUGGUGUAUUCAGAUGAGGUCUUGCGAUCGGCCAACAAUGGGCGAGGUCAUUGAGAUUCUGGAGGCUGGGACCGACAGCCUGCAGAUGCCUUCAAGACCAUUUUUCUGCGACGAAGGGCACAUCCAUGUGGAGGACUCUUAUCAUUUCACUUCCGAGCUGACAGUGGUGUCAGAGGAGGAAUCGACUGCGGUGUCAGAGGAAGACAAUGUGUGA